GAGUGCCAUUUCAAAUUGCCACAGUUGACGGAAGCUUUGGGGCAAAUAGUAGUCACCCUAAAGCGGUAAAUUUAAUCUCUCGAUAUUUAAAAUCCUUCAGACGUUGUUUGCUUGGUAUCGUGUUAUUUCCCUUUUAUUAUUGCAGUUAUGGUUAUCGUGUAGGGAAACAAUUUACUUUUUGCACUAAGAGUCAUCGUGUUGGGUAAUAUUAGAAUUGGGGUUACUGUGAAAGGAUACCCAUUGCCUUUUACUAGACUUAGGAAUUACUUGCCUUGAAUUUUUUGUGAAU
rnacentral:lncRNA from 1 species